GGGAAAGUUGAAAAGAACUUUGAAGAGAGAGUUCAAGAGUACGUGAAACCGUUCAGGGGUAAACCUGAGAAACCCAAAAGAUCGAAUGGGGAGAUUCAUCGCAAACGGGGCCGAUUCCUGUGUGGUAUGCGAUGGUCGGUGCCUCGGUACCGGUCACGCUAUCGCUUAGGUUAUAUUGGCCACGUCAGCGUGCACUUCUCCCCUAGUAGGACGUCGCGACCCGUUGGGUGCUGGCCUACGGCCCGAUUGGUCGACUGUCGCUUGGCGUUAACGCGCUUCUCGCGGCAGACCAUUGGUUGCCCGGCCGGCUGCCCGGCGGUAUUGAUUCAUUUAUGAACGGUAUUGGGCCGCAUUAUGUGCGUCCUGGCUCGUCGGCAGGCUCGCCUCGCUCGGAUUUACGGACCUAGCGCCGUUGCCGGGUGCUUGGCGUGGCCGUUAGUCGACGAUGUCCUCGGACUGGCUCUUACAUUCGAACGGAUGUACCGGUCGGCGACGCUACUGCUUUGGGUACUUUCAGGACCCGUCUUGAACACGGACCAAA
rnacentral:rRNA from 1 species